CAACUACCGGCUGUGGGAAGAGGAGGAGCUGGGGGGGAGGAGGAGGAAGGCCCGGAGCUGUUUGUCACCAUAGCAACAAGGCUCAGGCGCUGCGUCCAGCGAGCACCGCGCCCGCGGGGGAGGCGGAGACAGCUGGUUUUUCAGCAUCAGAUAAUUAAGUUCUGCAUAAAGCUGACAAGAGCACAAUAAGGAAACCUAUGUCUGAUGAAAGUAUCACAUGAAAUGGAUGAAUUUGGAGGAACAUCUGGACAUGCAAGGAUAAGAUUAUGUAGAAACCAUCAGACUUUGGAUGUAUCUUGGUUAAAUUCUAGCCUACAAGAGACAUUAUUACCAGGAAAACCAUGGCAUAAGGUUUUAGACAAACUUGGAGCUGCUCUUGCUGAUGACGUGAAGCACCAACUAAGAAAUCCUAAACAACGACAAAUGAUUUUCUGUCUUCUUGGCCAGCAUUUUGUUAAAAAAUAUUUUAAUGAGUGUCCUAAUCAACCUAGUCUACUAUCUUCCACAAACAUGAGUGAGAUAGAUCAGAAGAAGUUGGAAGAAGAUACAAGGAUUUGGCUGAAGCAACAGUGCUUAAAAGCUGCAGAACGCAUUAGCUGUCAGUUCAGACUUGAUAAUAAUUCUGAAAGACUGGCUCCCGAAAUGGUGCAUUUUCUUAAUGAUACCUACAACAUAGUAGCAACAGAGAUGGAAUUGUUAUUGGCUACACAUGAGGCAUGGGAAAAGGCAGCAGAUUCACAUAAGGAUCUACCUCCUUCGGAGUGGAAUUCUAAUCCAACAUCGGUAGCUAAAAAAAGACCAAAUUCUGUUGAAAGCAAAGACCUCAGUUUAGCCAUGUACGGAGGAUCUAUUUUCCAAUUAAAUGAAACAGACAAGAUGCGUAUUGGUCCUGAGAUAUCCUCACCUAUUCUAAAUUGCUCAGCAAGUGAUAUACUGGGAGACUCAAUCUGUGCCAUAAUCUCAUUAGAUUAUGAUAGUAUGUUAACUGUGUGUGAAAGGCUAAGUGGAAAAUUACUUCCAAAAACACUUCGACAGUUUAUCUGGACUGAUAAACUUAUAAAAGCGGAUGCAAAAGUUGACAAGUUUGAAAGAAUAACAAUUCUCGAGAGAGAAGCUAGAGUGAAGUUUGGACGAACAGUGGAGCACCAAAUUGCUAAACUGAAAAUUAGAAGUGCCACCCGAUCACCAAUUUCAGGCCUUAUUGAAAAUGCAGUUGUGGAGAAAUAUGAAAAGACACCCUGCAUGCAUUCUUUUGCCACAAAUGAACAAAUGAUUUCAGAGACCAGCAAAACCUUAAAUGUCCUCUAUGUUUUCAAUGGCACGUAUGAACCCUACCUAAUCUAUUGGCUUUUUCCUUUGCAAAUGGCAUUUAAGCAAAUAAUGCCUACAGCUGAACAUCCCUAUGAAUUGGCUAUGUACCUACAUUUCCUACAUCAAAACUUAUUCCCAUCAUGGACAGAAAUCUUUGCAAUGGCUGAGUGGAUGAUGAGCCUCCUGGAGAGAGAGGAUACUGAAUUCUUCACUCAUCUUCAGCAGUGUUUCAGAAAGAAUUUUGCAGUUGACCCAAAAGAUUUCCUGGUGGAGUUGAUAGUUCGAGAAAGAGAGAGAGCUCAAAAACUCUACACCGCCACAGACAGAUGUGAGCAAAACAAAUAUCUAACCAAGGAAUUGCUGGCAAGCCCAGUCAUUUUCCUCAGAAAGUGGAUGGGUGAAGGCUUUGUGAGUAUACUGGAUUUUCCUGCAGUGUUGUUGAUUUGGGAUCAAUUGUACAUGCAAGAUUGGAAUCAAAAGGUGAUGGAGAAUUUCUGUCUCUCAAUCCUUAUGCUAUUAAAGGAUUCACUAAUGGCUGCCAAUGAUUAUCCAGCUAUAAGAGAGGUGUUUUUGUUCUAUGGUUGUCAUCUUCUUACAGCUGAUAUUCAAAGGGCCUGGAUUCAUCUUCAGCAAGGUGGUUUACCAUCUGACAUCCCAGGGCUUAGCAGGCAGAACCAAAGGCCGCUUGCUGAUCUGUCUCCAAGGCUCAGUUCAAUGGAAGCUGGAAAGGUUUCUCUUGGCUUCCAGAACAUCUUGCCAGUUGAAGUGAAGGAUGUUUUACUGAAGCUAGUUUUACCAGUACCACAGGUUGAGAUAUCACACACUGAAACUUGGUUGAAAGAGUUUGACCCUCUUGCUGUGGAGUUAACAGUUUCAGUAUUUUAUGGCCUUGAAAAACUGUGUUCCAAGACUAGCUCUUUUAAACCCUCUCUUCUACAGAAAACCAAAGGAAAAACAGCAAAAAAAAGUGAAACCACUGAAUUUACUGUUCGGUUCAAUGAAACAUUUGCCUUUGAUUCUCUGGAUCCAUCUGAGUUUAUAAAUAUGGCAGAAGCUAAACCCUAUAUUGUAUUAAAAGUAGUUUACAAGUCUAAAGGCAAAGACUCACUGACUCUCGGAUGGCAAAUGGUGGAUGUAUUUCAGCAAGAAAGUACAAAUAUUAGAGCUAUCUGGACACCUAAAGAGUUUUCUACACUUGUUCCACUGCAUCCUGGGAAACUUCCUUAUAACAUUAUGGGUUAUACUUUUAAGCAUGUCUCAAAAGACUUGGCCCAGGCUCAUUCAAAUAUCCAGUUAACUGUUUGUGAUACAUCCAAGGAAAGAAAUAGACAGAGAAACAACCAAAUGAGAAGAAAAAGGCUUCAAGAGUCUGACUUUCUAUAUGUACCUUGGAUUCCAUAUAAUUCCUCUACCAUAUUACCACGUCCUACAUCAUUAAACUGUCCAUUUGAUCUAUAUAUAGAUGCACUCCAUUAUAUCCCUGAUAAUGCAACAAUAACAAAGGUAACAGGGCAAAUCAAGAAUUCAGGGCUGAAUAGCUUGCUUGAUAUUAUGGCAUUUCCACUUCUUAAUAGUUCAUCUCGAAAUCCAGAAUUCCAGUACCGAAUGGUCUUAAAUGGAGAUGAUCCAAAAGUAAUGGAUAUCAAUACAUGUGUUCUUCUUCAAGUUUAUACAGUGGAUGUAGAUUCUGGAGACCUUGUUAUAAUAGGAAACUCUGUGAUACGUGUGUUUAAUGAUGAUGGGAAGCUAAACGUAGGAGGAUUUCAAUUAAGACUGAGAGGAGGGAUGCCAACGAAGGAACCAGCAGCUUUUACACCAUUUGCAUUAAAUCAGUAUCCAGUCAUUCCCUGCUGCACUAUACUACUUCGAUUGUUACCACACACUCAGUUUUCAGUGCCUGCACCAAGCUACUUGAUGGGAUAUUACUUCUCAAAUGAUGCUAAGCCCAGUAAUUCAGAGCUAGAGAUUAUAUCCAGCUUUCAAAAGGACAACAGCUUCCCAAAACUUGUACAAGAAAUGGGAAUGCGUUUAAUUGACAAAGAACAAAGCAAAGUUACACUUGAUCAUUUGGAAGCCUGGUAUGUGGAAAGAUUGGAUGAAAAAAGACAUUCACGACCAGAACACUUUCCAAAAUAUAUCAAUAUACAUCAUGCAGUCCGCUAUCGGCAAGAAGCAGGCAUCCGGAUAAAGAUCAAGCAAGCCUUUGGACUUAAAGCUGGUGGAUAUUAUGUAAAUGUGUUAGCCAGAGUCCUUAAGGGAGCUGCAAGCAUGCAUUUGCCUGAGUUACCUCAACAAUGGGCAGGAGAAGAAAAAUUUCUAACAAACCAACUUGAUUUUACAAGUCUACAGAGAUCACCACGGUGGACUGAUCCAUCUGUGGUGUUACACCCUUAUCUUGAUCAUCAUAGUGUGCUUUUAAUUCAAAUAUUUGGCCUGAAUGCUAUUUAUGUUCCGGAUCCAAGUGGACAGAGACCAGGAAAAGUAAUAUCUCACCCUGGUCAGAUCCUGGAGCUUAAUACACAAUCACAGUUAGGCUGGACUGCUGUUCCACUCUUUGACAGUGACUAUGUGAGGAGUGGUGUGCACAGUGCUCCGUUGUUUCAGGGUUCUCCAAGUGCAGAAUUUCUCCAGUCUGUAAUCUCUCAGCCAGUGAAGGAUGUUAUGGCUGAAGGUAUAAAGAAAAAGACAUUAAAACUUUUGCCAACUUUUGGCAGUGUUACUCUUGAGUUUUGGGAUGGUCAUUACUUUGAAGAGGAGCAUUAUGAGCUACCUGUUCUAAACAACCUUCUAACUGUUGCCAACACAAAGAAAUUUGUGGACACUCAAGCAAACAAGAGAGGCCAGGAGCUGUCACAGCUAGUUCUGCACAGUAUGGAUAAAAAAAUAAGAAAAUUGGGACGACAUAGCCCUGAAUAUUAUCAACAAGAGUAUUUUUACAAAGAAGCAAUGGGAAACGCUUUUUACAGUCUUGUGGAAACAAUCCUCUUGAAUGCAGGUUAUGGUCAUCUAUGAGCUUUCCCUUCAAAGGUGAAGAAUAUUGGGUAUCAAAAUGAUCAAAUUCUUAAACUGGAUCAAACAUAUUUUCAAGCUCUACCUAAAACUAAAUAACAAUAUCUUGGGAGAGCAUCAGCCUGGAGCCUUGCUUCCUAUAAUCAUUGAAGGGCUGAAGGUAUCCCCUAACUCCCCCUUCCAGCUUAUUGACUCACUUUGUCAGUAGCUUGUGUGUUAUGAGAAGAUAUCAUUCUUUAGAAUCAGAACAGGGAAAGAAACACUGUUUGCACUGAGAGAAUCAUAGAGAUGACAGUUCUUUUUUUCUAAAGCAUUCAGUGUGUAAUUGCUGAAGACAUUCCAAGCCAUUCUAAUGAAGUGUACUGUCUGCCAGUCUGUGUGCUCUUCCUAGAGAACCAUCUGUUACACCUCAAAUAUCUAAAGGUCUGCCAUCAUUUAUUGCACCAAACAAAUCAAUUUCUUUGUCUGACCUGCAGUAACUUGUCAAUGUGGCCUCCUAGAAGGUAGUUUGUUACCAUGCAAAGCACACGAUCUUCUGUCUCUUGUUGCUAUAUAAAAAUGUUUUUUCAUGACUCAUCAUAGCAAAUUUCUGAUAUCAGACCUACUGAUUAGAUUUUUAAUUUACUUGGUAACAUAUAUAAAUACUAAAAAAUCCUGAAUGAUUUUUCUCUUCACUCAAUCAUUGUUACAUCAUACGCUUUUUUCUUUUGGUAAACCAAACCUUUCGUUGUAAUACUUUGUAGGUCUUGUGUAUAAAGGCAACAUGGCCUUAUUGUAACUUGAUUUACUGUUCCUUUAAUUAGAUUAUUUGUAGCUGAAACAAAGCUUUG